CCCAUGACGCCUUGCUUAGCCACACCCUCAAGGGAACUCAGCAGUGAUAAACAUUAAGCCAUAAGUGAAAACUUGACUUAGUCAUAGCUAAGAGGGCCGGUAAAACUCGUGCCAGCCACCGCGGUUAUACGAGAGGCCCAAGUUGAGAGACAUCGGCGUAAAGAGUGGUUAAGUUAAAACUUAAACUAAAGCCGAACGUCCUCAAGGCUGUUAUACGCACCCGAAGAUAAGAAGUUCAACCACGAAGGUGGCUUUAUUUAACCUGAACCCACGAAAGCUAAGGCACAAACUGGGAUUAGAUACCCCACUAUGCCUAGCCCUAAACAUUGAUAGUAUCCUACACCCACUAUCCGCCCGGGAACUACAAGCAUUAGCUUAAAACCCAAAGGACUUGGCGGUGCUUUAGAUCCACCUAGAGGAGCCUGUUCUAGAACCGAUAACCCCCGUUCAACCUCACCUUUCCUUGUUUUCCCC
rnacentral:rRNA from 1 species